rnacentral:rRNA from 1 species
CCUACGGGCGGCAGCAGUGAGGAAUAUUGGUCAAUGGACGAGAGUCUGAACCAGCCAAGUAGCGUGAAGGAUGACUGCCCUAUGGGUUGUAAACUUCUUUUAUAUGGGAAUAAAAUGUUCCACGUGUGGGAUUUUGUAUGUACCAUAUGAAUAAGGAUCGGCUAACUCCGUGCCAGCAGCCGCGGUAAUACGGAGGAUCCGAGCGUUAUCCGGCUUUAUUGGGUUUAAAGGGAGCGUAGGUGGAUUGUUAAGUCAGUUGUGAAAGUUUGCGGCUCAACCGUAAAAUUGCAGUUGAAACUGGCAGUCUUGAGUACAGUAGAGGUGGGCGGAAUUCGUGGUGGAGCGGUGAAAUGCUUAGAUAUCACGAAGAACUCCGAUUGCGAAGGCAGUUCACUGGACUGCAACUGACACUGAGGCUCGAAAGUGUGGGUAUCAAACAGGAUUAGAUACCCGAGUAGUC